rnacentral:rRNA from 1 species
AUUGAACGCUGGCGGCAGGCCUAACACAUGCAAGUCGAACGAGUGGCGGACGGGUGAGUAAUGUCUGGGAAACUGCCUGAUGGAGGGGGAUAACUACUGGAAACGGUAGCUAAUACCGCAUACCAUCAGAUGUGCCCAGAUGGGAUUAGCUUGUUGGUGGGGUAACGGCUAACCAAGACGACGAUCCCUAGCUGGUCUGAGAGGCUGACCAGCCAAACUGGAACUGAGACACGGUCCAGACCCGUACGGGAGGAAGAAGUGGGGAAGAUUGCACAAUGGGCGCAAGCCGGAUGCAGCAAUGCGGCGGGUAUGAAGAAGGCCUUCGGGGUGUAAAGUACUUUCAGCGGGGAGGCGUUACCCGAAGAAGAAGCACCGGCUAACUCCGUGCCAGCAGCCGCGGUAAUAC